UCUGUUUCUUUUUCUGUAUUAUUAUUAUUCUUCCACCUAUUUUGUCCGGCAGUUUUCUCGGAGCCAAUGGAACCAAUCUUAAUGAAAGUUAACUAUAAUGAGGAACAUAAAAUUUCGGGUUGCAGUAGGUCUUAAGAACAUAAAAAAUGGCUGCCGUUGCCAUGGAAACAGAACAAAUGUGAAAAAAUCUAGUUUUUGGUUUUGGUGAAUUAUUUGGACAUUAUUAAACUCAGAAUCAUUAUAUUUUAAUACAAUGUAGGUGCCCGGUAUAUACUGGUUUUGGAUGAUUUUGGCAAUCAUUGGAACAACUAUGUUGCUAUGGAAACUACACCAAAAAUUUCAAAAAUAUCAAAAUGCUCCAAAUUUUUUGAAACUCCAUAGUAACGAUGAGCAACAUUGAUAGAUGUGGAAUUUGGCGUUGGAAUUUCGAAAAUUUCUGCCGUUACCAUGGAAACAAUGCAAAACUGGUCAAAAUGAUCCAAAAACCUUAAAGUGGCAUUUACUUUCUUAAAAUGGUAGGUCAAAUUGAUCGAAACUUUGAUGGUAUGGUCCCUCCCAUGUACCAAUGUGGUAUAUGCCAUUAUAUUUUGGGAAUGGUCUCUGUUGCCAUAGGAACCAUCACAAAUGUCCAAAAUUUCAAAAAUUUCAAAAUGCUCCAAAAUUGAUGAAACUUAAUAGGAUUGUUGACUGUCAAGUCUGCAUGAGACUUUUGAAGUUGGAAUUUCCAAAAUGGCUACCGUUGCCAUGGAAACUGGAAAAAUGUCAAAUAUUUUCGAAAUGCUCCAAACUUAAUGAAACUUAAUAUUAUUGUAAACUGGCAUGUAUAGAUGAGACUUUUGACUUUGAAACUUUCAAAAUGGCUGCCGUUGCCAUGGAAACAGCAAAAGUGUCAUGUUUUUAAAAAUGAUCUAAAUGUACUGAAAAUUUACAGAAAAAUGUAUAGCCAUGAAAAUAUGUGCAUUCAUUGUUAAAAGUUUUUGAAAUGGCUGCCGCUUAGUGGCAAUGGGGGGAAGGGUGACAUCCGCUAUUGCUUGCAAUAGCAAUUCUAGUUUCUUUUGAUUUUC
rnacentral:lncRNA from 1 species